GAUGAAGAACGUAGCGAAAUGCGAUAAGUAGUGUGAAUUGCAGAAUUCAGUGAAUCAUCGAAUCUUUGAACGCACAUUGCGCCCCCUGGUAUUCCGGGGGGCAUGCCUGUUCGAGCGUCAUUUCACCACUCAAGCCUCGCUUGGUAUUGGGCGACGCGGUCCGCCGCGCGCCUCAAAUCAACCGGCUGGGUCUUUCGUCCCCUCAGCGUUGUGGAAACUAUUCGCUAAAGGGUGCCGCGGGAGGCCACGCCGUAAAACAACCCCAUUUCUAAGGUUGACCUCGGAUCAGGUAGGGAUACCCGCUGAACUUAAGCAUAUCAAUAAGCGGAGGA
rnacentral:misc_RNA from 1 species